AUGGACUCAGAGGAUUUUGCAACUGCUUGCAAACUCCCGCAGUGGGGUAAUAUUAAUGAUCCUCAAAAAUCUGAAUUUAGAGAUUUCCUUGCUAGUAUAACUAUGGGAGAAUCCAGGGACAUAGCACAGGCUACCAUAGGGAGCAUUCAUUUUCCUGCUAUGCAUUAUUUUGCUCUCUUCAUUGGUAGAUGCAUUAACGGUAAAAAUGAAGCAUGUCACAUGUGUGUCCCUGAUCUGUGUGUCCUCAAGAGUGCCUUGUUAGGUUAUAAAGGUUAUAACUUGGGGGCAAUAGUUGCACGUAGGUUGCAGAAUAAUAGUAGAACUAGAGAUUUAUUUGGAGGAAUUUAUGCAAUCCGUGUGGCUAAUUAUCUUGGUAUAUCCCCGUGA
rnacentral:rRNA from 1 species